rnacentral:rRNA from 1 species
AUACGUAGGUGACAAGCGUUAUCCGGAUUUACUGGGCGUAAAGGGCGUGUAGGCGGUCUUGCAAGUCAGAAGUGAAAUUCCUGAGCUCAACUCGGGCGCUGCUUCUGAAACUGCAGGACUUGAGUGCUGGAGGGGAUAGCGGAAUUCCUAGUGGAGCGGUAAAAUGCGCAGAUAUUAGGAAGAACACCGGUGGCGAAGGCGGCUACCUGGACAGUAACUGACGCUGAGGCGCGAAAGCGUGGGGAGCAAACAGGAUUAGAUACCCUGGUUGUCCACGCCGUAAACGAUGAAUACUAGGUGUAGGGGGUAUCGACUCCCUCUGUGCCGCAGUUAACACAAUAAGUAUUCCGCCUGGGGAGUACGGCCGCAAGGUUGAAACUCAAAUGAAUUGACGGGG